rnacentral:rRNA from 1 species
AUUGAACGCUGGCGGCAGGCCUAACACAUGCAAGUCGAGCGAGCGGCGGACGGGUGAGUAAUGUAUGGGGAUCUGCCCGAUGGAGGGGGAUCACUACUGGAAACGGUAGCUAAUACCGCAUACUAUCGGAUGUACCCAUAUGGGAUUGGCUAGUAGGUGGGGUAAAGGCUCACCUAGGCGACGAUCUCUAGCUGGUCUGAGAGGAUGAUCAGCCACACUGGGACUGAGACACGGCCCAGACGCCGACGGGAGGCAGCAGUGGGGAAUAUUGCACAAUGGGCGCAAGCCUGAUGCAGCCAUGCCGCGUGUAUGAUGAAGGCCUUAGGGUUGUAAAGUACUUUCAGCGGGGAGGCGUUACCCGCAGAAGAAGCACCGGCUAACUCCGUGCCAGCAGCCGCGGUAAUAC